rnacentral:rRNA from 1 species
UGGGGAAUAUUGGACAAUGGGCGCAAGCCUGAUCCAGCCAUGCCGCGUGAGUGAUGAAGGCCCUAGGGUUGUAAAGCUCUUUCACCGGUGAAGAUAAUGACGGUAACCGGAGAAGAAGCCCCGGCUAACUUCGUGCCAGCAGCCGCGGUAAUACGAAGGGGGCUAGCGUUGUUCGGAUUUACUGGGCGUAAAGCGCACGUAGGCGGACUUUUAAGUCAGGGGUGAAAUCCCGGGGCUCAACCCCGGAACUGCCUUUGAUACUGGUAGUCUUGAGUUCGAGAGAGGUGAGUGGAAUUCCGAGUGUAGAGGUGAAAUUCGUAGAUAUUCGGGGGAACACCAGUGGCGAAGGCGGCUCACUGGCUCGAUACUGACGCUGAGGUGCGAAAGCGUGGGGAGCAAACAGG